rnacentral:rRNA from 1 species
GGGGGGGGGGGGGGGGGGGGGGGGGGGGGGGGGGGCGGGGGGGGGGGGGGGAGGGCUGGCGGUUUCGGGGGCGAGGGGGGGGGGGGUGGGGCAGGUCUGGGGGAGUGGCGGAUGGAGGGGGGUGACUACGGGAACCGCGGGCUCGUACGGCAUAACGUCGCAAGACCACGGAGGGUGAGCUUCGGGCCUCUUGCCCUCGGCUGUUCCCAGCUGGGGUUAGCUCGUCGGUGGGGUAACGGCUCACCUAGGCGACGCUCCCUAGCUGGUCUCAGAGGAGGACCAGCCACACUGGAACUGAGACACGGUCAAGACUCCUACGGGAGGCAGCAGUGGGGAAUAUUGCACAAAGGGCGCAAGCCUGAUGCAGCCAUGCCGCGUAUAUGAAGAAGGCCUUCGGGUUGUAAAGUACUUUCAGCGGGGAGGAAGGGAGUAAAGUGAAUACCUUUGCUCAUUGACGUGACCCGCAGAAGAAGCACCGGCUAACUCCGUG